CACCUGACGAGCACGCCGCGUGAGUGAAGAAGGUUUUCGGAUCGUAAAGCUCUGUUGUAAGAGAAGAACGUGUGUGAGAGUGGAAAGUUCACACAGUGACGGUAACUUACCAGAAAGGGACGGCUAACUACGUGCCAGCAGCCGCGGUAAUACGUAGGUCCCGAGCGUUGUCCGGAUUUAUUGGGCGUAAAGCGAGCGCAGGCGGUUUAAUAAGUCUGAAGUUAAAGGCAGUGGCUUAACCAUUGUUCGCUUUGGAAACUGUUAAACUUGAGUGCAGAAGGGGAGAGUGGAAUUCCAUGUGUAGCGGUGAAAUGCGUAGAUAUAUGGAGGAACACCGGUGGCGAAAGCGGCUCUCUGGUCUGUAACUGACGCUGAGGCUCGAAAGCGUGGGGAGCAAACAGGAUUAGAUACC
rnacentral:rRNA from 1 species